UCUGGCCUCAAAUCAAGUAGGACUACCCGCUGAACUUAAGCAUAUCAAUAAGCGGAGGAAAAGA
rnacentral:rRNA from 1 species